rnacentral:rRNA from 1 species
AACGAACGCUGGCGGCAUGCCUAACACAUGCAAGUCGAACCAGAUCUUCGGGUCUAGUGGCGCACGGGUGCGUAACGCGUGGGAAUCUGCCCUUUGGUUCGGAAUAACAGUUGGAAACGACUGCUAAUACCGGAUGAUGACGAAAGUCCAAAGAUUUAUCGCCAGAGGAUGAGCCCGCGUAGGAUUAGCUAGUUGGUGUGGUAAAGGCGCACCAAGGCGACGAUCCUUACCUGGUCUGAGAGGAUGAUCAGCCACACUGGGACUGAGACACGGCCCAGACUCCUACGGGAGGCAGCAGUGGGGAAUAUUAGACAAUGGGCGAAAGCCUGAUCCAGCAAUGCCGCGUGAGUGAUGAAGGCCUUAGGGUUGUAAAGCUCUUUUACCCGGGAUGAUAAUGACAGUUCCGGGAGAAUAAGCUCCGGCUAACUCCGUGCCAGCCGCCGCCGUAA